rnacentral:rRNA from 1 species
UGGGGAAUAUUGGACAAUGGGCGAAAGCCUGAUCCAGCCAUGCCGCGUGUGUGAAGAAGGUCUUCGGAUUGUAAAGCACUUUAAGUUGGGAGGAAGGGCAUUAACCUAAUACGUUAGUGUUUUGACGUUACCGACAGAAUAAGCACCGGCUAACUCUGUGCCAGCAGCCGCGGUAAUACAGAGGGUGCAAGCGUUAAUCGGCAUUACUGGGCGUAAAGCGCGCGUAGGAGGUUUGUUAAGUUGGAUGUGAAAUCCCCGGGCUCAACCUGGGAACUGCAUUCAAAACUGACUGACUAGAGUAUGGUAGAGGGUGGUGGAAUUUCCUGUGUAGCGGUGAAAUGCGUAGAUAUAGGAAGGAACACCAGUGGCGAAGGCGACCACCUGGACUAAUACUGACACUGAGGUGCGAAAGCGUGGGGAGCAAACA